CUCCUACGGGAGGCAGCAGUGAGGAAUAUUGGUCAAUGGGCGCUAGCCUGAACCAGCCAAGUAGCGUGAAGGAUGAAGGCUCUAUGGGUCGUAAACUUCUUUUAUAUAAGAAUAAAGUGCAGUAUGUAUACUGUUUUGUAUGUAUUAUAUGAAUAAGGAUCGGCUAACUCCGUGCCAGCAGCCGCGGUAAUACGGAGGAUCCGAGCGUUAUCCGGAUUUAUUGGGUUUAAAGGGAGCGUAGGUGGACUGGUAAGUCAGUUGUGAAAGUUUGCGGCUCAACCGUAAAAUUGCAGUUGAUACUGUCAGUCUUGAGUACAGUAGAGGUGGGCGGAAUUCGUGGUGUAGCGGUGAAAUGCUUAGAUAUCACGAAGAACUCCGAUUGCGAAGGCAGCUCACUGGACUGCAACUGACACUGAUGCUCGAAAGUGUGGGUAUCAAACAGGAUUAGAUACCCUGGUAGUCCACACAGUAAACGAUGAAUACUCGCUGUUUGCGAUAUACAGUAAGCGGCCAAGCGAAAGCAUUAAGUAUUCCACCUGGGGAGUACGCCGGCAACGGUGAAACUCAAAGGAAUUGACGGGGGCCCGCACAAGCGGAGGAACAUGUGGUUUAAUUCGAUGAUACGCGAGGAACCUUACCCGGGCUUAAAUUGCAGUGGAAUGAUGUGGAAACAUGUCAGUGAGCAAUCACCGCUGUGAAGGUGCUGCAUGGUUGUCGUCAGCUCGUGCCGUGAGGUGUCGGCUUAAGUGCCAUAACGAGCGCAACCCUUAUCUUCAGUUACUAACAGGUCAUGCUGAGGACUCUGGAGAGACUGCCGUCGUAAGAUGUGAGGAAGGUGGGGAUGACGUCAAAUCAGCACGGCCCUUACGUCCGGGGCUACACACGUGUUACAAUGGGGGGUACAGAAGGCAGCUAGCGGGUGACCGUAUGCUAAUCCCAAAAGCCUCUCUCAGUUCGGAUCGAAGUCUGCAACCCGACUUCGUGAAGCUGGAUUCGCUAGUAAUCGCGCAUCAGCCACGGCGCGGUGAAUACGCUCCCGGGCCUUGUACACACCGC
rnacentral:rRNA from 1 species